GACGAACGCUGGCGGCGUGCUUAACACAUGCAAGUCGAGCGGAGCGGCGAACGGGUGAGUAACUCGUGAGUAACUGCCCCCCUCUCUGGGAUGACAGUUGGAAACGGCUGCUAAUACCGGAUAGUGGGGGAUGACUCGCGUCCUAUCGGCUUAUUGGUUGGGUAGGGUCCUACCAAGGCGACGACGGGUAGCCGGCCUGGGAGGGCGACCGGCCACAUUGGGCUGAGAUACGGCCCAAAGUCCUACGGGGGGCAGCAGUGGGGAAUAUUGCACAAUGGGGGAAACCCUGAUGCAGCAACGCCGCGGGCGGGAUGACGGCCUUCGGGUUGUAAACCGCUUUCAGCCAUGACGCGGUAGUGGCAGAAGAAGCACCGGCUAACUACGUGCCAGCCGCCGCGGUAAUAC
rnacentral:rRNA from 1 species